GCGGGGUGUUCGGGGGCAGCUAAACGUUUGCAGACUGCGGAGCGCAAAAAAGGUCAAAAUGUUUGUAUUAUUUUUGAAAAGGGAGGCGCACACAUCUCCUUUCCGCCUGAUUGGCCGGACUUGACAGUGAUUGACGUGCAGCCAUGGCAACCGGGCAGCCAAUCUGCCAAGUCCAAUAGGAAAUCAUCGGAGGGGGGCCUGACUGUCUUUUUCCUCCCCCCCUUCAAAAACACAUCUCGGCUCGGGCUUUAAUUCUUUCCCGCAUCCCACCUUGAAAAAUACAUCGCGGCUCCGGCUUUAAUUGUCUCGCACCUUCAGCCCUUUGCCAGCCAAGUUUGCCCGCAGCACGAGGAUGCGGUAGCCGGCCCCCCGCGCACCGUCGUUCCUCCUCCGCGGCGUCUCGCUGCUCGUUCACGGCUGGUCACACGGCGGGUGCGCCAACUUUGGGAUUGCCUCGUUUUUUUCAGAGGGUGGUCUUGGAUUUGCCUCGGCGCACGGAGGGAAGCAGCGGAGGACUCGACGCGGAGGAGAGAGGGCGAGAGGAGAGGAGAGAGAAAGGAGGGGGAGAGGGAAACAACAAGGAGAAGCCUCCAUGUUUCAGCUGCCCAUCUUGAAUUUCAGCCCCCAGCAGGUCGCCGGGGUCUGCGAGACCCUGGAGGAGAGCGGGGACGUCGAGCGCCUCGGCCGCUUCCUGUGGUCGCUGCCCGUCGCGCCGGCGGCCUGCGAGGUCCUCAACAAGAACGAGUCGGUGCUGAGGGCCCGCGCCGUCGUCGCCUUCCACACCGGCAAUUUCCGCGAACUCUACCACAUCCUGGAGAACCACAAGUUCACCAAAGAGUCGCACACGAAGCUGCAGGCGCUGUGGCUCGAAGCGCACUACCAGGAGGCGGAGAAGCUGCGGGGACGCCCGCUGGGGCCGGUGGACAAAUACAGGGUGCGCAAGAAGUUCCCCUUACCCAGGACCAUCUGGGAUGGAGAGCAGAAGACCCACUGCUUCAAGGAGAGGACCCGGCACUUGUUACGAGAGUGGUACCUGCAGGACCCGUACCCGAACCCCAGUAAAAAGAGGGAGCUUGCACAGGCUACCGGACUUACACCCACACAAGUAGGAAACUGGUUCAAAAACCGCAGACAAAGAGACAGAGCGGCGGCUGCGAAGAACAGGCUCCAGCAGCAGGUCCUGUCCGGCGGCUCGGUUCGCUCCCUGGCGGACGAGGACGGCACCGUGGACCGCCUGGGGAACUCGUCCAGUCCGGAGGCGAGUCUGUCCAGCAAAGCGGCGGCCUCGGCCAUCUCCAUCACCUCCAGCGACAGUGAAUGUGACAUCUGACACGGCCCCGGUGUCGAUGAAGUGAAGAGGGAUUCGAGUGAAAGACAAUCUAAUAAAAAACGAGUCAUAGUGCCUGCGUUGAGUUAAAACACAAAACACACACAUCACGCACACACACACACACACUCACACACACUGAUACUGACCGAUGCCAAAACGUGAGGGGAUCUGACUGUGCGUCCUUAUCCUGUUCUAGGCCUGUACACCUUUGGUGGCGUUUCACCCACGUGUGGAUAAACUGAACUUAACAAGGACCAGACAUAUUUCACGGACUAAUCGCUAAACCGACGCCCGGAGAAGAAACGUAAAAAAAAGAAGAAACAUAAAUCAACAACAACAACAAAAAAAAAGGAAAAGGGGAUGAAGGCAUCCGAGCGCCUAACCUGCUGUUCUCUAGGGGCUCUGUUCAAGGGAUGAGGCACAAUCCCAUGUGUGGCCCAGUGGCUGCAUCCUGCUCUGAGGGCCUCACAUGCUGCAUCCACAUCAUGAUGACCUGGAGAGGGAAACUGCAUGCUAAUGACGCCCCCUGGUGGCGGUGAUGUCCUACAUGGCUAAACUGGAUCUCUCAAGUUUAUGAGCCGCUGGUUUCUAAUAAUUUCAAUCCAAAGGAAGUCAGACAUUAGCAGGCAGUCUACUGUUAUUUUCAGUUUUCUGUUGGAUAAAAUAAAACUGAAACCAAACAUAUUGAGAAGAAUGUAAUAAUAAUAAUGGAAUAAUUCAUUAGGCUAUAUUGAAUUGUUUAUACAAUUAUAAAAUUAGGUUUUGGGCCAUGAAGUGGUUUUAUAAAUGUUAUAAAAACCAUUAAUUCAUCAAGUCGCCACCAAACAGUUUGACUUCACUAAAACUGCCUCUAUUUUCCCCCACAUAUUUAUUUAUUCACCUGCUUUAUGUAAUUUAUAUCUCUAUGCAUGGUGUUCUGGAUGCUCUUAACACAGCUCUAAAUAUUCAAUCCCCUCUUGCCAUCGUUGUGAAUCCACUUUCAUUGGCCUAUCCCUCAACAUUUGAGGGAUAGACAAAGAAUAAAGAAUAAAGAAUAACAUGACAGGUAGAUUCAAAUGAACACCACUCGUAAUAAUUGAUAAGAAACAGAAACUCAGAAUAUAUACUCAAGCUGAAAUCCCACGGUUCCCAGGAAAGAGGCUGUAGAACACGAACAGUGUCUUUAAUUUGACAAGGCCGACUGGUUAGAUUUUGAGAUGGAGAUUGAAAUGUAAGCAGUAGGUAAAUUAAAUUCAUUAAGCCAUGCACCGUAGAAUAAAAAAGCUGCAGAUGUUCUUUUACCUCGGACAAACUCAGCGCUGCUGAUGCAGUUUAUUUUAUCAUAAAAAGUUGUUUCUACCAUUUCCCCUUUGUCUCCCUGCUGUCUGCUGUCUGUCUAUCAACCACUGGUGUUUCCUACCAUCACCAGAUUUCAGCCAGUGUGGUGAGGUCAUGUUCUCAGGCCACUUAGAACUGUGCUUAGAACUCUGAGUCUGCAUCUCGGUUCCCCACGUUGAAUGAAUCUGAAUGAUAUUGAUAUGUUUUCAUCAAUAAAUCAAAGCAAACAUAAUAAAGGGAAACUGUCUUCAUGUAAUUGUGUUCAUUAUGUAGUUAAGUAUGGAUAUUUCCUCAUCUUUCUGAGGGUUUAUAUAUAACACAGUGUAGAGGGCUUUUAUUAAUAAUAAUAUUAUUGUUGAUUUUUUCUUUAUACUAUGUUAUUAUCUUCCACAAAUAAAAUCAGUUUGAAAGUAGAAUCUAAUUAGAUGGACCUUUCUGAAUUACAGUCAUGACAGGGAAGACAAUGUGAUUGUUACCUAAUAGAUGUGCACAGUGUUUAUUGUUUCUUGAAUAUUGUGGUGUUUGUUUAUUAAUUAUGAAGUGUUCUCUUUAUAAAUGUUGAUUGUUUACUUGGCACCCUACAGGUUCAUUGACGAAGUUGUAUUUGUAACUCAGGGCACAUUUACGUUGGCCACCAUACACAGUAUUUUUGCUUCAUGUCUGACAUUGGAGACAUUGGUGAUAUUGUUGAUUGAUAUUUUGAUGUGUGUUCAAUAAUGUUUUUUCUAAAUCUGCAUCAUUCAAAGGAAAUUUACAUCUUUGAUUUUUGUUAUAUUCCUGAAGCUCUGACUCAACUUACAGUCGACAAGCAGCUCAAUAAACUCACAAUAUAUACAUAUAUAUAUACUAUACUAUACAAAUCCUGUACAACCUCAUAAUGCUCUGGUCCACACUCAUUGAUCAUCCUGAACCACCACUGACUCACACAGUCCGUGCAUGAAGUAUAAUUCAUCUGCAUUUGUUCACGUUGUAUAAUGUAAUAUGCCACUUACCAUAACAAACCAUAGUCAUAACAAACACUCAGUGACCAUCCAUUACCACUAACUGUACUUUGCACAACCCCUUCCCUGGUGCUUAUAAUAUCUUUUAUAUUCAAUUUUGUUUCCUGUUUUUUAUAUUCAUCUUGCACAAACACACU